AAGGCGGGGGCGGGACGGGGGCAGUGUGGCGGGAGGCCCCACCCCGCCGCGGCGGCCAUCUUGGGGAGGUCGUCCCCGGCCUUACUGGGGACAGCCUGGCCCCGCUCUGGAGGCGGCGCUCGGGAGGCGGGAGGUGGGUGUGGGGAGGCCGGCCUGACGUGGUUCCGGUGCCCCCUGGCAAGCCUUGCCAGUCCUCCUUCCUGAGCCACGGUCCCCGUCCCCGCGGGAGCUUCUUGACGCAAAAAACGCGGCCUGUUCCGGGGUCCUGGUUCCUUUCUAAAAGACCCACAUUUUUGCUGGUCCCUGGCGUUGAGAGAGCUGUGAGCUAAGAUUUCUGAGCGCGGGGACCAGGGUUCGAAGCUGCUAGAGCCGGAGACAUGGCUGCCGGUGUCUCAGAUGAGGCUCGUGAGGAACCCUUAAGAGACAGAAAACAGUUUCUGGAGGAAACGGCACGAUUCAAUUAUAUGGUUAUUCUUGUCAUCCUUGUCACCAGUGCUGUCAAAUAGCAAUAUGAUGCGAUCCACACAUGUAUUCAAAGAAUUACCAAUAGGCGCAGAAAAAACCCCAGGAACUGAGAUAAAAUUUCAUAUGUUGUGUUCCGGAAAAUCACUUUGAGCAGAACUGAGGGUGCUUGCCAUCAAGAACUACUUUGGGAGAAGUUUCUGUUUACAGCCUUAGGCUGGGCGGCUUUCCGGAGUAGAGACUGUGACUUUCUCACUAAAUUAAUAUCAAAAUGAGUUUUGGCUUAAGGAAGUGCAGCCGCUACGGAUUCUUUAAAAUCAGCAACCUCUACAGCACCUACCCAGAAUCAUGCCAAGUUUACAGAGAGCUCCCUAACAAGGAACUGCUGGCCUGUAAAAUCCCAGCUGGCUCCUCACUGGGCCCCUGCAAAGCCUGAGAGCCCCAUGAGAUAGGGGGAGACUCAAAGCUCACCGGCCCUGCCCACCAUCUGACAAUUUCAGCGUCGCUUCCGGGAGUACAAGUGCCGCUCCUGUGCGCGGCCAGGGUUUGCAGGACCAUGUGACCUAACCGCGCCCCAGGCUUCCUCGCCAGCUGCCCGCCUUCCCCAGCCCUUCCGCCCUGAGAGGGGAUCCCAGAACCACAUCCAGACCGAUCAGGGCCUUCUUGCGCUCUGUCUCAGCUUCCUUCUCCACCACCUUCUGUUUCUGGGCUGCAAUGAGCAGCUUUGUCUUCUCGCUUUCCCUGAAGGGAAGAACAGUAUGCAGCCGUGAGGCGGCUGCUGAAAACGCUUCCGAGGAACUUCACUGUCCCGCGGAGGAACCAAACUUCUGCUGAGGAGAGGCAAACCUGGCUUUCUCACUCUCGCCUGGAAGGCUGUUCCCUGUCCCAACUGUCACCUGCUUGAAGUAGCCGUUCUUGGUCACCUGUGCCCAAAGAGGAGCCACUGAGGAACAGCAAAUGCCUUUAACAGAUGCCCAAAUGGAGGCCCAUGGAGGUUCAGUGAUGUGCUCAAGCGAGUUAGCAGUCAAACUAAUAAACCUGUUUGGUCACUAUGCUUUAA